CUCCCUGUGGCGAAACUGGCAUACGCACCGCACUAUCAAUGCGGCUCCUGACCGGAUUGCGGGUUCGAAUCCCGCCAGGGAGACCU
rnacentral:tRNA from 1 species